UACGGAGGGUGCAAGCGUUGUCCGGAAUCACUGGGCGUAAAGGGCGCGUAGGCGGCUCAUGAAGGCUGUGGUGAAAUCCCGGGGCUCAACCUCGGAACAGCCUUCAAUACUGGAUAUCUUGAGUUCGGGAGAGGUGAGUGGAAUGCCGAGUGUAGAGGUGAAAUUCGUAGAUAUUCGGCGGAACACCAGUGGCGAAGGCGACUCACUGGCCCGAUACUGACGCUGAGGCGCGAAAGCGUGGGGAGCAAACAGG
rnacentral:rRNA from 1 species